AGAGCACACAGGGGAUGCCCUGGCGCAGGUAGGCGAUGAAGGACGUGGCAAGCUGCGAUAAGCUCCGGGGAGCCGCUAAGCGGGCUUCGAUCCGGAGAUGUCCGAAUGGGGAAACCCACCGCGGUGAAGCCGCGGUAUCCUCAUCUGAAUACAUAGGGUGAGGAAGCGAACCCGGGGAAGGGAACCAUCUCAGUACCCGGAGGAAGUGAAAGCAACCGCGAUUCCCUGAGUAGCGGCGAGCGAAACGGGAACAGCCCAAACCACUUGCAUGUUAAAGCCCUGGCGCGUUGUGCAGGUGGGGUCGAGGGACCUGACUUGGCUCCGGCCCGGAGGAGCCAGAGAGUCAAAAAGGGCAAUUUUAGCUGAAUACCAUGGAAAGGGUAACCAUAGAAGGUGAUAGUCAUGUAAGCGAAAAAAUUGUCUCUCUCCGUCAGGCACCCAAGUACCACGGGACACGUGGAAUCCUGUGGGAAUUUGGGAGGACCAUCUUCUAAGGCUAAAUACUAACCUGCGACCGAUAGUGUACCAGUACCGUGAGGGAAAGGUGAAAAGAACCCCUGUUAGGGGAGUGAAAUAGAACCUGAAACCGUGUGCGUACAAGCAGUCGGAGCCCCCGCAAGGGGGUGACGGCGUGCCUUUUGCAUAAUGAGCCGGCUAGUUACUCUAAGCGGCAAGGUUAAUCCUUUAGAAAGGGAGGAGCCGUAGCGAAAGCGAGUCCUAACAGGGCGCUUAGUCGUUUGGAGUAGACGCGAAGCCGAGGUGAUCUACCCUUGGCCAGGAUGAACUGCGGGUAACACCGCAGGGAGGUCCGAACCGGUGUUGGUUGAAAACAGCUCGGAUGAGCUGAGGGUAGGGGUGAAAGGCUAAUCAAACUCGGAGAUAGCUCGUUCUCCCCGAAAUAGCUUUAGGGCUAGCCUCGCGUGAAUGGUAUAGGAGGUAGAGCACUGGAUGGCCUAGGGGGCCGAAAGGCCUUCCGAAUCCAACCAAACUUCGAAUUCCUGUAACCUCUACGCGGGAGUAAGACUGCGAGCACUAAGGUCCGUAGUCAAAAGGGAAACAGCCCAGACCGCCAGCUAAGGUCCCAGAAUGCAAGCUAAGUGGGCAAGGAUGUAGAAACGCUUAGACAACCAGGAGGUUGGCUUAGAAGCAGCCAUCCUUUAAAGAAAGCGUAACAGCUCACUGGUCAAGUAUUUCCGCGCCGACAAUGUAACGGGGCUAAGCUUGCUACCGAAGCUGCGGAGACAAGCUUCGCUUGUCUGGUAGGGGAGCAUUCCGUGGGCAGUGAAGUAGGAUCGUGAGGUCUUGUGGAGCGCACGGAAGAGACUCUGCCGGCACGAGUAGCGAUAACUGCUGUAAAAACCAGCAGCGCCGAAAAUCUAAGGUUUCCUGGGGAAGGUCAAUCCGCCCAGGGUUAGUCGGUCCCUAAGCUGAGGCCGAAAGGCGUAGGCGAUGGAUAGCAGGUCAACAUUCCUGCACCACCUGAAAAGCGUUUGUACGAUGGGGGGACGCAGAAGGAUAGGCGUACGUGCGGUUGGAAAUGCACGGCCGUUAAGUAGGAGGAGCUCUUAGGCAAAUCCGGGAGCUCGUUAACUCCGAAUACAACGGGGAAGCAGGGCUUCGGUCUUGUCAACUCGCUGAUUCCACGCUGCCAAGAAAAUCCUCUAAGGAGUUUUUCAGGUGACCGUACCGCAAACCGACACAGGUAGAUGAGGAGAGAAUCCUAAGGCGCACGUGUGAGCCCUCUCUAAGGAACUAGGCAAGUUGACCCCGUAACUUCGGGAUAAGGGGUGCCUCGGUAGGGUGUAGUUGUAUAAACAAAGCCCGAGGAGGCCGCAGAAAAAUGGCUCUUGCGACUGUUUAGUAAAAACACAGGACUCUGCAAAGACAUAAAAUCGAUGUAUAGGGUCUGACGCCUGCCCGGUGCCGGAAGGUUAAGGGGAGGGGUUAUCCUGCUUCGGCGGGAGAAGCUCUGAACCGAAGCCCCGGUAAACGGCGGCCGUAACUAUAACGGUCCUAAGGUAGCGAAAUUCCUUGUCGGGUAAGUUCCGACCCGCACGAAAGGCGUAACGACAUGAGCGCUGUCUCAGAGAGGGGCACGGCGAAACUGUGGUACUGGUGAAGACGCCGGUUACCUGCCGCUGGACGGAAAGACCCCGGCACCUUAACUGCAGCCUAGCAUUGGAUUUUGGAACAUGAUGCGCAGAAUAGGUGGGAGGCUUUGAAGCCGCACCUCCGGGUGUGGUGGAGCCAUCAGUGAGAUACCACUCUUCAUGUUCUGAAGUUCUAACCCACUCCCCUUAUCGGGGAGGGGAACAGUGUUAGGUGGGUAGUUUGACUGGGGCGGUCGCCUCCUAAAAUGUAACGGAGGCGCCCUAAGGUUCCCUCAGGUUGUUUGGAAAUCAACCGCAGAGUGCAAAGGCAUAAGGGAGCUUGACUGUGAGACCGACGGGUCGAGCAGGUGCGAAAGCAGGGCUUAGUGAUCCGGUGGUCCCGUAUGGAAGGGCCAUCGCUCAACGGAUAAAAGGUACGCCGGGGAUAACAGGCUAAUAGUCUCCAAGAGCUCACAUCGACGAGACUGUUUGGCACCUCGAUGUCGGCUCAUCCCAUCCUGGGGCUGAAGCAGGUCCCAAGGGUCCGGCUGUUCGCCGGUUAAAGGGGUACGUGAGCUGGGUUUAGAACGUCGCGAGACAGUUCGGUCUCUAUCCACGGCAGGCGCAGGAGAUUUGAGGGGGGCUGUCCAUAGUACGAAAGGACCUGGAUGGACGAACCUCCGGUUUACCAGUUGUGCCGCCAGGCGCAGCGCUGGGUAGCUGUGUUCGGUAGCGAUAACCGCUGAAAGCAUAUAAGCGGGAAGCGCGCCCCAAGAUAAGAUCUCCCUCCCCGCAAGGGGCUAAAGGGCCCUCGUAGAUGACGAGGUUGAUAGGCUGGGUGUGUAAGCGCAGUGAUGCGUUGAGCUAACCAGUACUAAUUGCCCGUGAGGCUUGACC
rnacentral:rRNA from 1 species